GUCUGCAUGGUAUAAUGGUUACCAGCACCCCUGGUUUCUGAGUAAAUCGGAGAUCACCAGGCCUUGCUAAGGCCGAGGGUUCAAACCCCGGUGAAGCCG